rnacentral:rRNA from 1 species
UCGAGAAUCUUUCACAAUGGGGGCAACCCUGAUGGAGCGACGCCGCGUGGAGGAUAAGGUCUUCGGAUUGUAAACUCCUGUCAUGCGAGAACAAAGCCCGCAAGGGUGUGAUAGUACCGCAAGAGGAAGAGACGGCUAACUCUGUGCCAGCAGCCGCGGUAAUACAGAGGUCUCAAGCGUUGUUCGGAAUCACUGGGCGUAAAGGGUGCGUAGGCGGCGCAGCAAGUCAGAUGUGAAAUCCGGAGGCUCAACCUCCGAACUGCAUCCGAAACUGCUGUGCUCGAGAUCUGUAGAGGGACUUGGAAUUCUCGGUGUAGCAGUGAAAUGCGUAGAUAUCGAGAAGAACGCUCGUGGCGAAGGCGAAGUCCUGGGCAGAUUCUGACGCUGAGGCACGAAGGCCAGGGGAGCAAACGG